AGAGUUUGAUCAUGGCUCAGGAUGAACGCUAGCGGCAGGCUUAAUACAUGCAAGUCGAGGGGCAGCAUGGGUGUAGCAAUACACUUGAUGGCGACCGGCAAACGGGUGCGGAACACGUACACAACUUACCCUGAUCUGGGAGAUAGCCCUCCGAAAGGAGGAUUAAUAUCCCAUAGUAUGGUGGCCUGGCAUCAGGCAGCCAUUAAAGCUCCGGCGGAUUGGGAUGGGUGUGCGGCUGAUUAGGUAGUUGGCGGGGUAACGGCCCACCAAGCCUGCGAUCAGUAACUGGUGUGAGAGCACGACCAGUCACACGGGCACUGAGACACGGGCCCGACUCCUACGGGAGGCAGCAGUAAGGAAUAUUGGUCAAUGGACGCAAGUCUGAACCAGCCAUGCCGCGUGAAGGAUGAAGGUCCUCUGGAUUGUAAACUUCUUUUAUAGGGGACGAAAUCUACAUUUCUAUGUAGUCUGACGGUACCCUAGGAAUAAGCACCGGCUAACUCCGUGCCAGCAGCCGCGGUAAUACGGAGGGUGCAAGCGUUAUCCGGAUUCACUGGGUUUAAAGGGAGCGUAGGAGGGCAGGUAAGUCAGUGGUGAAAUCUUUGGGCUUAACCCGAAAACUGCCAUUGAUACUAUCUGUCUUGAAUAUGGUGGGGGUGAGCGGAAUAUGUCAUGUAGCGGUGAAAUGCUUAGAUAUGACAUAGAACACCGAUUGCGAAGGCAGCUCGCUACGCCUAUAUUGACUCUGAGGCUCGAAAGCGUGGGGAUCAAACAGGAUUAGAUACCCCUGUAGUCC
rnacentral:rRNA from 1 species